CCCAUCAAUAGAGAGAGAGAGACUGGGAAAGCCAGGGAUGAGAAAUUAAAUCCCUGAAACACUUCUCUUUGAGAGCAGGACAGGAAGUGAACGCUACUCUCCUGAAGAAGUGUCUCCUACUCAAGAAGCUCAACUGUGGGCCAGCUAAUGAUAAGUUUAUGUCCAAAAGAGGGGAUAUCAAGACCCAACCUCCUCCCUAGUGAAGUGAGAUUGCACAAGGACUCUACUGAGGGAGAGGGACCACUGCACUUUAUGCUUUCCUGAGAACCAGGGAAAGGUGAAUACCAAACUGCACCACUGACUCUCCCUCACCUCCUCUUGGACCUGAAUGGUACCCCUUCCUCCAGGUAGCUGAGAAGGGGCUGUGCUAGUUCUGUCACCACAACCUGGGGUCCCACUAGCAUCUCAUUAAUCUUAUUUGUAGUCUUGGUGUUUUUCUAUGUGAUUUCACAGCUGUCCAAGCAAUGCAGGAUUCAGAAUUUGGCAUGGGAGUUGUUUCUUCCUUAAAAAAGUGUAUGUUUCUGCUUGAGCCUUCCUUAGUACAGAAAAAAUAGUGGGAAAGUAACUAGAAACAGGCAAAGAAAAACAUACCCUGGAGAGAGAGAUUGGGAAGGAGCAGAGGAGGAAAGGGAAAUGUCAAUAUAAUCAGUGCUGCAAAAAUGGAGCUGUUCCAAGCCUGUAUCAGGGCAAUUGGUCAUUCAGCUUGAUCUUGGAUCUGUCAGGAGCACAGAACAUAACCCAUUGUUCACAGAGAAUAUACUAUUCCUUCUCCAUUGAUUGCAUUUUUAGAAAAGUCAGCAUUUUCCUUGAGAAAACUUUUACAGACGCUCUUGGGUAUUGAAGAAUACGAGCCUUGCCAAAAGAGGAGCCUUAGGUUUCUUGUUAUUCCCAGCCUCUGACUCCUCAGAGCGACAUCUGUCAUCUUUCAAAUUGUUGUGGUUUUUUUUUGUCAGAAUGUGACUUUUUGAUUAAGUUUUUUCCCCUUCUGUACAUUCGCUUUUACAUUUUUCUCCUUCUUAUUGUAACAAAAAGUUUCCUCUUGUUUCAGUGCAGCUUCCUUUAUAUUUCACUUUCUAUUUCAGCACUGUGUUGUAUUUAAUAGGAGAUAUUUCCAAAAGGGCUGAAGGUCAGACUUUCAAGUUUGCAGCACUUAACAGCUGCAUAUGUUUGAACUGAACACCCAUCCAGACAGCUAUAAAGGUUGCCUGUUUCACAGCAUUUAAGCAGACUAAGCAUCGCCAUGCAACACAAUGCAUUGCUGACUUACAGAAUCCCAAAGAACAUCCUGGUGAGCAGGACCAGUCAUUAAAAGCUGAAAAUCGGGAUCUCUGUGGCAGUGUCUGGGCAACAUGAUCUUGCCCUUCCCAGAGCAAUUCAGGUUAGUAUUGCACUGGCUCAGUGGCAUUGUCCCUUCCAAGUGGGGAACUUGAAUUAUGUCUCGAUUUAAGGCUGACAAGGAAGAGGCACCUUUCCUUCUCAGCUUGAUGCUCAUUUUGAGACAAUGUGACUUUUGUAACAACAUUCACUUUCCAGUCUCUCAUUCUGGUCUUGGAAGUUGCACAGCAGCUUUGUCUUUAAACAUGCCUGAUCAGCAGUUCAGGCACAAUCUCUCUUAUAUAUGACUGUAGUAUCUGUUAAGGUCACUGUACUUCACCAGCAGCCUAACUCUUAAUGCCCCAUUCAUAGUUCUUGACCACUUUAAUUAUUAUUUUGCUUAAGACUGAAAACAAAAAUUUCUAUUGCCAGAUCAGGAUCAAAUUCAUCACCUUUAAAACAGAAAGAGAUUUUGGGUCCCAAAUUCAAUGCCUGAAUUAAGCUCAGCUUCGGGGAGUUUUCUUUGUCAUUCCUUGAAAAGUAUGGCAAGUAUUUUGUAUGUUUUUUAGUGGACACUGUCCCUACAGAUUUGUUAUCGCAUAUUCUGAAGUACUUUUCUGCAUUUUUGCAGCUACCCAUGUAAAAUGAUCAAUUUAUUUUGCAUAAUAUGCCCACAAAUAAAAGCAAAAACUAAACAUUUUAUAAAUCAUCUGACAUUCCAACAGUGUGCUGUUUACUGACUUCAGAUGACUCAUUGUCAUAUUCAUUUGUUAGCUUGUUCAUCUAUUAAAUGUAACAUGCUCUACAACAAGUGACCCAUUUAAUUUUCAAUUCUAAUUGUGAUUUUUUGGAGCCUCCUAAUCCAUUUUUUUUCUAGUCUGAGUACCAAAGGUUAAUAUCUUAAAAUUAGAUGUCUCAACAGAAUUGGGUCAUAGUGACUGCUAAAUAAGCAAAGCAAUUACAAUUGUGCAGCUUUUAGCAUUUCUUCUACUAACUUUCCAUAAAUAAAAACUUUCCUCAAAGGUUUCAACAGUUUAAUUCUGAGCUAACACUAACUAUAAAAGUUAUUCCCAAAUUCAAAUAAAUCUGAAGUUAUGAGUAGCAAGACAAUUACCAUAGAACUCUAUAGAAAUGUAAAUUUUUUAGAUUCUUCACUCAAAUUUGAAAACUUUCUGAUUACAUACAGACACAGAACAAAAGCCCAAAGGACAUUCUUACAUCCGAUAUUCUUGCUGAUUAUUGCAUCUUGAUUAGCACAUAUUGAUGGAAUGUGAUCAUUGACACCAUUACAAAGCAUACACUUUAAUAUUGUUUAAGAUUGUUGAUGUCUGGCAAGCUCUACAACAGCUUUAAUAUUUUAUAGUAAUAGUAUUGCACUGAUUUCUUCUAGGUACUUUUUUCCUUGUUAUUGAGCUUGUGGAUCUACUACAGGUUCUUUGCUAUUUGUGUCUAAUGACUUUAAAGAUCAGUGUGCCUUUCCUCUCAUUUUACACAUUUGUUUUUCAGCUCUUCCCCCUCUUUCAAGAAAGCCAGUGUAAAUAAAUGGUUUCUGAGGCCAUAAAGCCUGUGUGAAAUGUCUGAAUGACAAAGUAAUGAACAUUGUUUGUGGCUGGAGUCAACACAAGUAUUUAUUGCUAAGCAACAAAGACUGAUGUCAGCGAGUUUUGCCAAAUGCAGAUGGUGAGUAGGUUUGUUGAAAAAAAAAUAAAAAACAAAUCACUCUAACAUAACUCUUUACAGUGGAUUCUAAUAUAAUAGAAAUAAAAUGCACUCAACUGGUCAGAGUGAAGGGCUCCACAGAGAGGAAUAAGGUUAAUUUAAUAAGAGUAUCUGCUGCCUUGGCCUGUAUUUUAGGGAGUUGCUCAUUUGUAAGAGUAUUCCUAAUCUUUCUCAGCAAGACUUAAGGAAAGAAAAAUAUCUGCAAAGCUUUCCAGAAGUUCCUGCCUGCUCAAAAGUUGCUGUUCAGAGUGUUAUUGCAAACAAAGGAAAAACACAGUACAUCCUCCCUGGUUGGCAAGGAAGUGGCAUAUGGAAUAUGCAAUACAACCUUACUGUCACUUUAGUCUCCUACAGCAUAAAGAGUUUUUAGUCCUGUUCAGCAAAUGCCUUUGCGUUCUCUCUCUGAACAACUCACCAGGUGUGGGGACUAGUGACUGGCGGACUAAGAUUGAUGAUCAUGUCACUGCAAAGUUGAACAUGUGUCCUACUGGGUAUGUCCACCAAACUCCUUUUAUCCCUGUUUGAAACGAGACCUGCCACAAAGCAGAACACACUCAUUUAUCUCCUUUGAGCAUGCUGAUGAAAACACAGUAAUCUUAAUGCAUAUCCUUUAGGCAGAGCUCACUGUCAAGAUCAGAUGCAAAUUCUCCUUAUUCCUGUAGAGAGCAGACAAAAGCAAACUUUGGUCCCAAUCUGUGAGAAGUCCGGACUCUCUGCAGGGACAGUAUGCUUGGUUUGAAAAACAUACAACCAAACUGUUGUUGUUUAGAACCAAAAGACUGUGCUGGAAACAACCUCUUCUGGUUCAAUCAAACUGCUAAAAUAAUCUGAUAUAACUCACCUCAGGUGCAAACUGCUCCAUAAAGCAGCUGCCUCCUUCCCUGGAAGCUGUCUCACUCACACACCUAGCUCAUCCUUUCAGAAACUACCUGCUUGUACUCAGCUUGGAAGACCAGUUCUGCUGCCCAGCUUCCAGAUAUUCCCCAUCUCUGUACAGGGACCCAAUGCCCAGUCCAGAAUUCCUGUUCCUUGGCCCUAGACUAGAUGAUAUAGAAAGAUAUUCCCAUUUAUUAGCCUCCACAACAAGCGAGUCACAAUUGCUGGCCUGUACCAACAGUUAUGUUGGUGCAGGGCCUGGAAUAGUAGCCUGAGUAGGAUAAGUAUACAAAAUGGUGUGAUGAUGGCAAUAAAGUAAACACAUACACACAGAGCAAACCAACACUACAUCUUGUUGUAGAAGGUGGAUUAAUUUUCUUCAAAGUAAAGAUGUUGCACCUCAGGCACCUCAUUAAACAAUCUCUGGUGUCUGAAUAAAAAAGUAAUGUGCAUGAAAAUGACCGUCUGAACUUGAGAGAAAGAAAGAUCAGCCAGCACUCAUGUGGGGCUCAGCUGGGAAAAAAUAUUUUACUUGAAGCUAUUUUUGUUUCUCUUAGUUGUGUUAGGCAACCAGCCAUAUUGUAUCAUACUGUCACAGCAAACAAAAAAACCAAAACACGAGUUGCUGCCUAGAAUUAGGUAUACUCACUAAUAAAAGCAUUAAUCAGUUUUGAAUAGUGAUUGCAUUUGGAAAAGAUUUUAGGAAAGAUUGUGUUUUUUCCACUUGGUUCACUGUUUUGAUGUAGUCUCAGUGUUUUGGGCUUUUGAGGGGUUCGGGUCUAGCCCUUCGAGUUCAGUUUUGCUGUUUGUAAAUGUUCACAAGAUAGAUAGUGAGAACAAAUGAUUUUUCAUAGCUUGAGUCAUUCAUAGAUUGUUCACUUUUGCAUCUCAUUACUGGACAUUUGCCCACAUGGUAUGUUUCUGGUGUCUGAUCAAGCAAACAAAAAACUUACAUAGCAAAAAUGGUGAACUUGUGAAAAUGGCACUGACAAAAACGUGCCAACUAAUACAACCCGAGAACUGAUUUCUUGUGGUUUUUUUCUGAUUUGAAGAUAUUUUCAGGAACACUCAACCAUUCAACUAUUUAAGAUAUAGUGAGAAAUAUCAGCUGGGUGAUGCAAAAUUAAUUAGAAUUUGAGCUGAUUAACUGCAAACUUCUUUAUUAAUAUGUUUAGACUGAGGGGAGAGUCCUGAUUUUUAAACAGUCCUAUUCACUUUGCCUUUUCACCUGAUAAGCAGGCAUGUACACAAAGCCACAGAAUUCUGUUUUCUCCAUCUCUAAUACACUGCUGAGAUACCUAGCACUUAUGUCAUUUAGGUUUAAAAGCUAUUAAUGCACUUGGUAAAGAUGAAAAACAAAAUAUGAAAUCUUGUCAAGCCCACUGAAAGCUGUAGUCAGUCUUAUUUAGUAAAUGUUUUUCAGAAAUGCAAUUUUGUCUGUGAUAAAUGCACUUUUCCAAGUGUAGCACUGUAGAUUUAGUACUUAGAAAAAUCUGUUGACAGCCACUGGAUUCUGAACUCUUUAUUUAUCUGCAAACUUCCGGAGUUGACACAGAGACAACAUAAACUUUUCAACCCCGUUAAAGUUGUUUGUCCUUGAACUAGUCAAACUGUUUGUAGAUUUGAGAGUACACUUCCUUUUCCACAUCCACUCAGCUGUCAGCCUUUUUGCUGAGCACAGCAACAAGGGCUUGAAAGAGUGUCAAAAUAUGACUGGGUAUUAAAUAUUUAGUAUUGUGGGCUUGGAUCUUUAGUUUUCAUAUGGCGCCUGCAUGCUUAGGCUAAAGUGUCCUUUGACCCAACAAGUAGGUCCUGGUUGUUCUUAAUAAAAUGGAUGAUUCUACCAAGCUAGGUCUGGAAACACUGACCUCACAACCACCAGCAGCCCUGGGCAUCCCCACUGGUUUCUCACCCAGCGUAUCCAGUGUGAUCUCUGGUUUCAGCUCCUGACUGUGAGAGUGCUGCAGGCAAAAGGGACACCCAGCAUUUGGCAAAAUCUUUGCAACCAAAGACUUGCAAAGUCUGGUGUCACACAGGGUACCUCAUAAUAUCCCACUGAGUAUAGUUCUUCUCUAAAAUAAGUUUAUCACAGGAAGCGUGGAGUAUCUUACUCUAUCUUUCUUCCCAGUCAUAUUCUCCCAUAAUUUGAAGCCUGCAUCUCAUGCAUCCCGUUCGUAAGGGACAUGAAAUUCAUACUCACACUUAGGAGAACAUUAUCUAGCAUUUUACACACAGUCUUCCCCUUAAUUUUGAUUUUAGUAACCUUUAAUUCAACUAUCAAAGGACCUUAACAGCUUUAUGGAAUAUAGAAAUUUGCUGUCAUUGGGCUUUGAAUUACAACAUAAUGAAUUUCAUUUUGAUUUUACAAUGAGAUUUUUAAACGGCAAGCCCUUUGGUCCUUGGGAAAAACUCCAAAUUUAAAUUGUUAUAUUAUUAUUAUUGUUAUUUUAAAUAGACUUUAGUAAUCAAGAGGUCAGUUGAGAAGAAUAACAAGUCUCAAUUUGCUAGGUUACCUAUGGUUACUCAAACCAAACACAGAAUCAAGAUCUUUUAAAUUGCAACUUUUUAAAAUAUUAGUUGCAAUUUGAACUGUGCCAUAAGUUAGGCAACACUUGUCUAAUCAGAUCCCUCUGUAUUUGUGAUAAUAUUUCCCCACAGCUAUUGAUCCCUGAGCAGAUACUACAGCUCUCUUUAAACCAAAAGGACAUAUUGCAAAGGCUUUUUGAAAAUCAAGGCUUCCACUCAGAAUAAGGUUGAGUCCAAAAAAAUUCCAUAGAAGCAAAUUGCAGGGAGUAUCUUUCUCAUGUGUUAAUUGAGAACAAUGUUAGUAUGUUAUAGUACCCUUAUAAUAAUGUAAUAUACUCAAAUUAUUAAAAUAUUAUGAACUAUUAAAUCUCUGA